AUCAAGACUAGAAUCACGCUUGGGUAUUGGCUAUUGCCUUAGUGUGCUAGAGUUUUCAAAGAGCAGCCACUGACCUUAUUCACUGGUGGUGGGCUUUAUGGCACAGAAGUCACCAGGUUAGUGAUAUGC
rnacentral:snoRNA from 1 species